GUCCAGGGUAGCCUAGUGGUCAUGGCAUCUGCCCGGUAAGCGGAAGGUCGUGGGUUCGAUUCCCAUCCCUUCGACG